GUGGGGAAUUUUGGACAAUGGGCGCAAGCCUGAUCCAGCAAUGCCGCGUGCAGGAAGAAGGCCUUCGGGUUGUAAACUGCUUUUGUGCGGAACGAAACGGUCCGGGUUAAUACCCUGGGCUAAUGACGGUACCGUAAGAAUAAGCACCGGCUAACUACGUGCCAGCAGCCGCGGUAAUACGUAGGGUGCAAGCGUUAAUCGGAAUUACUGGGCGUAAAGCGUGCGCAGGCGGUUUUGUAAGACAGGCGUGAAAUCCCCGGGCUCAACCUGGGAAUUGCGCUUGUGACGGCAAGGCUGGAGUGCGGCAGAGGGGGAUGGAAUUCCGCGUGUAGCAGUGAAAUGCGUAGAUAUGCGGAGGAACACCGAUGGCGAAGGCAAUCCCCUGGGCCUGCACUGACGCUCAUGCACGAAAGCGUGGGGAGCAAACAGGAUUAGAAACCCUUGUAGUCC
rnacentral:rRNA from 1 species